rnacentral:rRNA from 1 species
UCCGUAGGUGAACCUGCGGAAGGAUCAUUAUCGUGGGGCUCCGGCCCCGUCGAGAUAACACCCUUGCCUUUACAGUACCGCCCGUUUCCUCGGCAGGCUCGCCUGCCAAUGGGGACAACAAAACACCCUGAUAUCACCUGUAACCGUCUGAUAAAACAAACAAAAAUCAAAACUUUCAACAACGGAUCUCUUGGUUCUGGCAUCGAUGAAGAACGCAGCGAAAUGCGAUAAGUAGUGUGAAUUGCAGAAUUUCAGUGAAUCAUCGAAUCUUUGAACGCACAUUGCGCCCUUUGGUAUUCCUUAGGGCAUGCCUGUUCGAGCGUCAUCUUAACCCUCAAGCACUGCUUGGUGUUGGGUGCCUGUCCCGCCCCGCGCGUGGACUCACCUCAAAUCCAUUGGCGGCCCUCACGUCGGCUUCGAGCGCAGCAGAAACGCGAACUCUUGGCCCGGCGGAGCGGCUCCCAGAAGCUACUCUCACCAUUUUGACCUCGGAUCAGGUAGGGAUACCCGCUGAACUUAAGCAUAUCAAUAAGCGGAGGAAGUCGACUGCGGAAGGGCACACAGGGGGGGGGGAUA